rnacentral:rRNA from 1 species
UGACUUGAGUGCAGAAGNGGAGAGUGGAAUUCCAUGUGUAGCGGUGAAAUGCGUAGAUAUAUGGAGGAACACCAGUGGCGAAAGCGGCUCUCUGGUCUGUCACUGACGCUGAGGCUCGAAAGCGUGGGUAGCGAACAGGAUUAGAUACCCUGGUAGUCCACGCCGUAAACGAUGAGUGCUAGGUGUUAGGCCCUUUCCGGGGCUUAGUGCCAGAGCUAACGCAAUAAGCACUCCGCCUGGGGAGUACGACCGCAAGGUUGAAACUCAAAGGAAUUGACGGGGGCCCGCACAAGCGGUGGAGCAUGUGGUUUAAUUCGAAGCAACGCGAAGAACCUUACCAGGUCUUGACAUCCCGAUGCUAUUCUUAGAGAUAGGAAGUUACUUCGGUACAUCGGAGACAGGUGGUGCAUGGUUGUCGUCAGCUCGUGUCGUGAGAUGUUGGGUUAAGUCCCGCAACGAGCGCAACCCUUAUUGUUAGUUGCCAUCAUUAAGUUGGGCACUCUAGCGAGACUGCCGGUAAUAAACCGGAGGAAGGUGGGGAUGACGUCAAAUCAUCAUGCCCCUUAUGACCUGGGCUACACACGUGCUACAAUGGUCGGUACAACGAGUUGCGAGCCGGUGACGGCAAGCUAAUCUCUGAAAGCCGAUCUCAGUUCGGAUUGGAGGCUGCAACUCGCCUCCAUGAAGUCGGAAUCGCUAGUAAUCGCGGAUCAGCACGCCGCGGUGAAUACGUUCCCGGGCCUUGUACACACCGCCCGUCACACCACGAGAGUUUGUAACACCCGAAGUCGGUGAGGUAACCUUUUAGGGGCCAGCCGCCUA